AUCUGGAUGCAGAUCUAAUCAGAAAGGUGCUGCAUGUUUGCUAACUUGGAAGGGGUCUUCCCACCGUAAUUUCUCUGGGGUUCACUGAAUUGGAGAAGAGGAGUAAGGAAGUGAACUUUAAGUUUUUAUUCAGUGUUACCUUGACAACUCCCUCAUAAAUUAACCAUGUCCACUUUGUGAAAAAGAAAAAUUAUUGAUUACAAAGAAUCUAUGGAGCCUACAAUUUCUUAUUAAAAGUUUGUCCUGAAAAUGGUAGCUUGUCAGCUUUAGAAGAUGUACAAAAACGAGGACUCUUCUUCUGGUGUCCUCCAGAUAUGUUUAGAAUGCAACCUUUUUUCUACCUUAGCUGAGAAGAAGCUGCAAUCAUGACAUCUGUUCCUUCAGCCAACUCAAGGUCUGGUCCACAUUUUGUGAACUCACUCGGACUCACUCCAAGAUGAUGUACCUGCUUUUUCUGGAUGUCUCUGCUCCUACAAGACUUGGGAUCCGAGCACUUCCUAUGUUUUGGGCUCAAGUCAAGUUUCUGACAGAAAAAUCCAUGGAAGCCAGGUUGUUGAAAUAUGGGGUGUCAGAAGGGGGAUCUCCACAGCAGAAUUCUUUUUGAUUUUUUGCUUAAAAGAAAAACUCCAUUCUGCAGCAAAUGGAGGGACUGGAAAUAGUUGAAGAGAGUGAUCAUUCUGGUACUACAACCAAUCCCAGAAAACAACACAUUUUAAUCCUGUUCUCUACCAACUACAGUGUAAACUAGAAACAAAACCAUGAAGCUGGAGAUUAAGUUUCAGAGUUUCAAGCUAAAUCAGAAUUCUUUGGAGUUGGAAAUCCAAUCAUAAGUUCCAGAUUUGAAUUAAUAUUGUACAUUGACCUCCAGUGAGAAUAAACACACUUGUCUGUCCCUUCUUGGUAAAAAGGGUGAGAUAAAGAUUGCCUCUUUGUUUUGUAUGUUACUCACUAAAUAUCCUAGCUGCACCUAAUUUAAACAUCAAUAAAGAGUAAAUAGAUGUAAAUUACUAUUCUUUCCUCAUUAUCCAAGUUUGCCAACUCCAAUAACCAUUGUGCCAGACUGUGACCUUGUAGCUUUCCUAUCUUAUUCGCAAUAUUAGUUCUCUAAAAGAGGAAUCCAAGGUGUGCUUAACUGGGUAUAAAUUCAGAUAACUAUCUUUUAAAUAUGAUUGUAGGGUUACAUCUCAUCUCUGUUUAGAAUUCAUGCCUGUAAUCGUGAAUAGCUUUUCCUUUGUGUGUAAAAUAUCGUGACCAUAUGUAAAUCUACUGUGAGCACUAUUUUGCUCUGAUCCAUAAUUAACAUCUGUAUUCGUCAGCAUCUUUGGAUAUGGAAAAAUUGGUAAAUGGACUGGGAGACCAAUUUUUCAAAAGUGGAGGGUUCCUGAAAGAAGAAUUAAAAGGCCCAUUGCUUACUCUCCUAUAAACUACUCCGAGAGGGUAGAAGUCCCACACAUGUAGCUGCCAUAUGCACAGCCAUAAUGCUGCUUGAUUACAUGAUAGAGCUUUUUAGCAACAAG